AAUGGGCAGACAAGAAGAGCAUUGAGUAAUAUAAACAAGAACAUCAUCGGUGCUCCUGUUUAUCCUUGUGCUGUCAACAAGAGACCAUUCACUGAGAAAAAUGUGAUAUGUAACAAGAAGGUUCCACCUGUUCCAGUGCAUCAUCGACCAGUUACUAGGAAGUUUGCUGCAGCUCAGUUAGCUGAGAACAAUUCCC